rnacentral:lncRNA from 1 species
UUCAAGAACAACUAAGAGGAUGUUAAAGGACAGCAGAGGGAGCCCCUGCAUGACUUAAGAAAACCGAAGGCAGGCAGAACAGAGACUUCUCAGGGUGCGAAGUUACGCAUGGUGCCCUCUACUGGAGUCACUGGUGAAGAGUUUUGAUUUCAAAAAGAAAUUCACAUAGAAUUUGUUCUUGUUCCAUUGUAUUGGUGAAGAAACUGAAGUUCAAAGUAAUUGGCAGGACAUACUACUUUAGGCAGUAUGCGAGUAGAGGCCUAUGGAUGCCCAUCGACAGAUUCUUAACAUUUGAGUCCAGUGAUAUAUUCAAAGCCCUACUCUUCUGGAAAAUAUCAUAAGAUUUGAAAAAUAUGGCUGCAAAGAGCAAAAGAAGAUUUGUGUCUCAAUAGAAAAGAUCUACAGAUUGAAUACUGCAUAGAAAACAAUUUAUUCACCUUACAAAGAUGAAAGGAUGAAAAGGCCCUGAGCAGUAAUAAAACUUCGCCAUUUUGGGGAGGGCCUCAAGAGGCUGUCUUAUCAGACUUAGUAGUUGGAAAAGUAUCCGUAAUCUCAAAGAAAAUUUUAAAUAUUGUCCAAGGAAAAUAUCCAAAUACACCUUAAAAUAUCA